GAUGAACGCUGACAGAAUGCUUAACACAUGCAAGUCGAUGGGGAAGUGGUGCUUGCACCAUGGUAACCAUGGCGGACGGGUGAGUAACGCGUAAGGAACUUGCCUGCGGGACUGGGAUAACAGCAGGAAACUGCUGAUAAUACCGGAUAAGGUCAUUAAGCUGCAUAGCUUAGUGAUGAAAGGAGACGCCUGCGGAGAGCCUUGCGUCCUAUUAGCUAGUUGGAGGGGUAACGGCCCACCAAGGCGAAGAUAGGUAGCCGGCCUGAGAGGGUGGACGGCCACAAGGGGACUGAGAUACGGCCCUUACUCCUACGGGAGGCAGCAGGGGGGAAUAUUGGACAAUGGGGGCAACCCUGAUCCAGCAAUUCUGUGUGCACGAAGACGGUUUUCGGAGUGUAAAGUGCUUUCAGCAGGGAAGAAGGAAGUGACGGUACCUGCAGAAGAAGCGACGGCUAAAUACGUG
rnacentral:rRNA from 1 species